GACGAACGCUGGCGGCGUGCUUAACACAUGCAAGUCGAACGGAAAGGCCUGCUUUCCCUUGUGGAUUGCGGGUGCUCGAUUGGCGAACGGGUGAGUAACACGUGAGUGAUCUGCCCCCAACUUGUGUAUAAGCCCGGGAAACUGGGUCUAAUUCCCGAUAGGACUGCAAGGUGGUGCCUGUUGUGGAAAACGAUUUUCUAGUGGUUGGGGAUGAGCUCGCGGCCUAUCAGCUUGUUGGUGGGGUAAUUGCCUACCAAGGCGGCGACGGGUAGCCGGCCUGAGAGGGUGGACGGCGACAUUGAGACUGAGAUACGGCCCAGAGUCCUACGGGAGGCAGCAGUGGGGAAUAUUGGACAAUGGGCGGAAGACUGAUGCAGCGACGCAGCGUGGGGGAUGACGGCCUUCGGGUUGUAAACUCCUUUCGACCGCGAGGAAGCCACCUGGUUGGAAGGGUGGUGACGGUAGUGGUAGAAGAAGCACCGGCUAACUACGUG
rnacentral:rRNA from 1 species